rnacentral:lncRNA from 10 species
UGAGCAGUUGUUCUGAAGAUGAGAGUAAGCAAUGCUGUAGGAAAAGGCUGUUAGGAAGAAAGGGAGGCAUCAGAAAGCCUGGGACAAUGGGACAGCAGGUGCUCUGGAAACUCUAAGCAGUUUGGAAUGGCUGUAGCACAUGCAAGAGGUCUCUGCGGAAGAUGCUCUUUGUGGAGUGAAUCGUUAACUGGGGAGGAGGCCACCUAGAUUCAGUUAUAGAACAUCGUGGAUUAGAUUGUCAUACAUCAAGGAGCCGAGGACCAUUCCCUGGGUAGCGAAGGCCUUCAGGACCUGGACUUCCUUUGGAAAGUCCAAACUUCCUUUGGAAAAAAGACUAAGAGGAAUUCUUCCUGAAGUUCCUUGUCUGACUGUGGCCACUGUCUCCCUGGAGAACUGCACUUAUUUCAGAAAGAAGAGAGACUUCUAGAUAAAGCGAGGUGAUGCUGGCUUCAAACCAAAUUAAAAAAAAAAGCUGGAGAUAUGCAAGUUGCUAAACCAGCCCUUCCCUCAGGCUCAAAUCAGAGGACAAUUGGUAACAACCACCUUUCUCUCAUUUGGUUUUGCAGCUCAAACAAAACUGUCACCCUCGCCAAAACCCCUGAAAUACAGAAAUGUGGUAUUAAAACAGUUAUGACUGGAAAAGAGGUUCAAUGGCCUCAUUUCAUGAUGAAAUUACCUAUUGCUCUUAUUAUGAAUAGUGAAUUCUACUGUUUAUAUAAGUUUUGAUUUAAUGUACACCUGACAUUUCAAAGUGCUCUUUCCUUUACAUUUCACUUUAUACUUGUGACAUUCUUAGAUAUGUUAUAUCCCAUUUUAGAGGGUAUAAAAACUGUGACUCAAAAUGAUUACAAGCUUUUCCCAGGAUCACUUAAUUACUUAUCAGAAGACCAGGAUUCUAGUCUUGGCUUUGCUGCUGUGUAAUGUCCUGUGCUUCUGUCUGUCUGUGCUACCCGUCUCAAAGCUAACUCUUUCUUAAGAAACUGAAAACGUCUUUAAAUUAUAUCAAAUAAGAUACAGAUUUAGAAAAUGAGAGGAAAUACUCUAGGAUUCCUUGUUGAAGAAAGUCUACAUGUUAUGAUUAUCCAGGUUUGUGCUGAUUAUUUUUGACAACAUUACAUGCAGUAAUUUAAAAAUUAUAUUUUAUACAAGACAUAGAUAAUAGUUUUAAGGAGAUAAUGAUGAUACUCUGUAAUUACACUGUGCUUUUUUAUCUUUCCAAAGAACAUUAAAAUCUAUUAUUU